AGCAGCCGCGGUAAUUCCAGCUCCAAUAGCGUAUAUUAAAGUUGUUGCAGUUAAAAAGCUCGUAGUUGAAUUUCGGGAUCAAUACGUCGGUCAUGCCUCUGGUAUGUACUGGUGUUAUUGGUUUCUCCUUUCUGAGGAGCCAUGAUGUCAUUAAUUUGGUGUCGUGGGGAAUCAGGACUGUUACUUUGAAAAAAUUAGAGUGUUUAAAGCAGGCACGCGCUUGAAUACAUUAGCAUGGAAUAAUGAAAUAGGACGUUCGAUUCUAUUUUGUUGGUUUCUAGGAUCAACGUAAUGAUUAAUAGGGAUAGUUGGGGGCAUUAGUAUUCAAUUGUCAGAGGUGAAAUUCUUGGAUUUAUUGAAGACUAACUACUGCGAAAGCAUUUGCCAAGGAUGUUUUCAUUAAUCAAGAACGAAAGUUAGGGGAUCGAAGACGAUCAGAUACCGUCG
rnacentral:rRNA from 1 species